ensembl:snRNA U6 U6 spliceosomal RNA
AUGUUGGCGUCCGCAGCACAUAUACUAAAAUUGGAAUGAUAAAGAGAAGAUUAGCAAGGCCCCUGGGAAGGUGACAUGCAAAUUCGUUAAGCAUUCCACAUUUUU